rnacentral:tRNA from 1 species
GCUAUUAUAAUUUAAUUAUAGAAUAUUAAUUUGUGGGAUUAGUUGUGUAUAAUGAAUUUAUACUAUUAG